rnacentral:rRNA from 1 species
GAUGAACGCUGGCGGCGUGCCUAAUACAUGCAAGUCGAGCGAACGGACGAGAAGCUUGCUUCUCUGAUGUUAGCGGCGGACGGGUGAGUAACACGUGGUUAACCUACCUAUAAGACUGGGAUAACUUCGGGAAACCGGAGCUAAUACCGGAUAAUAUUUUGAACCGCAUGGUUCAAAAGUGAAAGACGGUCUUGCUGUCACUUAUAGAUGGAUCCGCGCUGCAUUAGCUAGUUGGUAAGGUAACGGCUUACCAAGGCAACGAUGCAUAGCCGACCUGAGAGGGUGAUCGGCCACACUGGAACUGAGACACGGUCCAGACUCCUACGGGAGGCAGCAGUAGGGAAUCUUCCGCAAUGGGCGAAAGCCUGACGGAGCAACGCCGCGUGAGUGAUGAAGGUCUUCGGAUCGUAAAACUCUGUUAUUAGGGAAGAACAUAUGUGUAAGUAACUGUGCACAUCUUGACGGUACCCAAUCAGAAAGCCACGGCUAACUACGUG